AAAUUUGGAAAAUGGGGGACACCCUGAUCCAGCCAUCCCGCGUGCAUGAUGAAGGUCUUCGGCUAGUAAAGUACAUUUGGCAGAGAAGAAAAGGUACCUUCUAAUACUAGGUACUGCUGACGGUAUCUGCAGAAUAAGCACCGGCUAACUACGUGCCAGCAGCCGCGGUAAUUCGUAGGGUGCAAGCGUUAAUCGGAAUUACUGGGCGUAAAGCGUGUGUAGGCGGUUCGGAAAGAAAGAUGUGAAAUCCCAAGGCUCAACCUUGGAACUGCAAUUUUAACAGCCGAGCUAGAGUAUGUCAGAGGGGGGUAGAAUUCCACGUGUAGAAGUGAAAUGCGUAGAUAUGUGGAGGAAUACCGAUGGCGAAGGCAGCCCCCUGGGAUAAUACUGACGCUCAGACACGAAAGAGUGGGGAGCAAACAG
rnacentral:rRNA from 1 species